rnacentral:rRNA from 1 species
GGAUCCAGACUUUGAUUAUGGCUCAGGACGAACGCUGGCGGCGCGCCUAACACAUGCAAGUCGAACGGAGAUUACAGGCGGAAGUUUUCGGAUGGAAGCUUGUAAACUUAGUGGCGGACGGGUGAGUAACACGUGAGCAACCUGCCUAUCAGAGGGGGAUAACGAUUGGAAACGAUCGCUAAUACCGCAUGACAUAGCGGAACCGCAUGGUUUUGCUAUCAAAGAUUUUAUCGCUGAUAGAUGGGCUCGCGUCCGAUUAGAUAGUUGGUGGGGUAACGGCCUACCAAGUCGACGAUCGGUAGCCGGACUGAGAGGUCGAACGGCCACAUUGGGACUGAGACACGGCCCAGACUCCUACGGGAGGCAGCAGUGGGGGAUAUUGCACAAUGGGGGAAACCCUGAUGCAGCGACGCCGCGUGAGGGAAGACGGUCCUCUGGAUUGUAAACCUCUGUCUUCGGGGACGAAACGAGACGGUACCCGAGGAGGAAGCCACGGCUAACUACGUGCCAGCAGCCGCGGUAAUACGUAGGUGGCAAGCGUUGUCCGGAAUUACUGGGUGUAAAGGGAGCGUAGGCGGGCAGGCAAGUCAGGCGUGAAAUAUAUCGGCUCAACCGGUAACGGCGCUUGAAACUGCAGGUCUUGAGUGAAGUAGAGGUUGGCGGAAUUCCUAGUGUAGCGGUGAAAUGCGUAGAUAUUAGGAGGAACACCAGUGGCGAAGGCGGCCAACUGGGCUUUUACUGACGCUGAGGCUCGAAAGUGUGGGGAGCAAACAGGAUUAGAUACCCUGGUAGUCCACACCGUAAACGAUGAUUACUAGGUGUGGGGGGACUGACCCCUUCCGUGCCGGAGUUAACACAAU